GAUGAACGCUGGCGGCGUGCCUAAUACAUGCAAGUCGAACGCACUUCCGUCGAAUGAUUUCAAGGUGCUUGCACCGCGAAUGAAAAUGACAUGAAGUGAGUGGCGAACGGGUGAGUAACACGUGGGUAACCUGCCCAGAAGUAGGGGAUAACACCUGGAAACAGAUGCUAAUACCGUAUAAUAGAGAAAACCGCAUGGUUUUCUUUUGAAAGAUGGCUCUGCUAUCACUUCUGGAUGGACCCGCGGCGUAUUAGCUAGUUGGUGAGGUAACKGCUCACCAAGGCAGUGAUACGUAGCCGACCUGAGAGGGUAAUCGGCCACAUUGGGACUGAGACACGGCCCAGACUCCUACG
rnacentral:rRNA from 1 species